CUAAGAAUAUUCCGCAAUGGACGAAAGUCUGACGGAGCGACGCCGCGUGGAUGAGGAAGGCCGGAAGGUUGUAAAAUCCUUUUGGGACUGAAGAAUAAGCGGUGCAGGGAAUGGCAUCGUGGUGACGGUAGGUCCUGAAUAAGCAACGGCUAAUUACGUGCCAGCAGCCGCGGUAACACGUAAGUUGCGAGCGUUGUUCGGAAUUAUUGGGCGUAAAGGGCAUGUAGGCGGUAUUGCAAGCCUGGUGUGAAAGGCAGGGGCUCAACCUCUGGACUGCGCUGGGAACUGCGAUACUAGAGUCGCUGAGGGGCAAUCAGAAUUCCAGGUGUAGGGGUGAAAUCUGUAGAUAUCUGGAAGAAUACCAAUGGCGAAGGCAGGUUGCCAGCAGA
rnacentral:rRNA from 1 species